AUGAACGCUGGCGGUCUGCUUAACACAUGCAAGUCGAACGGGCUUCUUUCGGGAAGUUAGUGGCGGACGGGUGAGUAACGCGUGAGGAUCUGGCUACAGGAUGGGGACAACGUUUGGAAACGGACGCUAAUACCCGAUGUGCCUUAGGGUGAAAGAUUUAUCGCCUGUAGAUGAGCUCGCGUCCGAUUAGCUAGUUGGUGGGGUAGAGGCCUACCAAGGCGAUGAUCGGUAGCUGGUCUGAGAGGAUGAUCAGCCACACUGGGACUGAGACACGGCCCAGACUCCUACGGGAGGCAGCAGUGGGGAAUUUUCCGCAAUGGGCGCAAGCCUGACGGAGCAAGACCGCGUGGGGGACGAAGGUUUGUGGAUUGUAAACCCCUUUUGAUUGGGAAGAUGAUGACGGUACCAAUCGAAUCAGCAUCGGCUAACUCCGUGCCAGCAGCCGCGGUAAUACGGAGGAUGCAAGCGUUAUCCGGAAUUAUUGGGCGUAAAGCGUCCGCAGGUGGUUAAUCAAGUCUAUUGUUAAAGCGCGGAGCUAAACUUCGUAAGGGCGAUAGAAACUGGUUAACUAGAGUUUGGUAGGGGUAGAGGGAAUUCCCAGUGUAGCGGGUGAAAUGCGUAGAUAUUGGGAAGAACACCGGUGGCGAAAGCGCUCUACUGGCCUGAACUGACACUGAGGGACGAGAGCUAGGGGAGCGAAAGGGAUUAGAUACCCCUGUAGUCCUAGCUGUAAACGAUGGAUAUUAGGUGUUGCGCGUAUCGACCCGAGCAGUGCCGAAGCUAACGCGUUAAGUAUCCCCGCCUGGGGAGUACGCUCGCAAGAGUGAAACUCAAAGGAAUUGACGGGGCCCGCACAAGCGGUGGAGUAUGUGGUUUAAUUCGAUGCAACGCGAAGAACCUUACCAGGGUUUGACAUCCCUCGAAUCCUCUUGAAAGGGAGGAGUGCCUUCGGGAGCGAGGAGACAGGUGGUGCAUGGCUGUCGUCAGCUCGUGUCGUGAGAUGUUGGGUUAAGUCCCGCAACGAGCGCAACCCACGUUUUAGUUGCCAGCAUUAAGUUGGGCACUCUAGAGAGACUGCCGGUGACAAACCGGAGGAAGGUGUGGAUGACGUCAAGUCAGUAUGCCCCUUACGUCCAGGGCUACACACGUACUACAAUGCUCCGGCACAGAGGGAAGCAAGACUGUAGUGGAGGCAAGCAAAUCCCCAUAAACCGGGCUCAGUUCAGAUUGUCAGGCUGCGACUCGCCUGCAUGAAGGCGGGAAUCGCUAGUAAUGCGCGAUCAGCCUACGGCGCGUGAAUACGUUCCCAGGCCUUGUACACACCGCCCGUCACAUCAUGAGCCGCUUGCUACGCCGAAGUCGUUCUUCCAACCGCAUGGAGGCAGGAUGCCGAAGGUCAUGGGUGGUGACUUGGGAU
rnacentral:rRNA from 1 species